GGGGAUGUAGUGCAGCGGUCAGCAUGCAGCGCACUCAUAAGGCGCACAGCAGACGCCAGGUUCGACUCCUGGCCGCUCCA
rnacentral:tRNA from 1 species